rnacentral:rRNA from 1 species
CGAUGAUCCGGUGCUUGCAUCGGGGAUUAGUGGCGAACGGGUGAGUAACACGUGAGUAACCUGCCCUUAACUCUGGGAUAAGCCUGGGAAACUGGGUCUAAUACCGGAUAUGACUCCUCAUCGCAUGGUGGGGGGUGGAAAGCUUUUUUGUGGUUUUGGAUGGACUCGCGGCCUAUCAGCUUGUUGGUGAGGUAAUGGCUCACCAAGGCGACGACGGGUAGCCGGCCUGAGAGGGUGACCGGCCACACUGGGACUGAGACACGGCCCAGACUCCUACGGGAGGCAGCAGUGGGGAAUAUUGCACAAUGGGCGCAAGCCUGAUGCAGCGACGCCGCGUGAGGGAUGACGGCCUUCGGGUUGUAAACCUCUUUCAGUAGGGAAGAAGCGAAAGUGACGGUACCUGCAGAAGAAGCGCCGGCUAACUACGUGCCAGCAGCCGCGGUAAUACGUAGGGCGCAAGCGUUAUCCGGAAUUAUUGGGCGUAAAGAGCUCGUAGGCGGUUUGUCGCGUCUGCCGUGAAAGUCCGGGGCUCAACUCCGGAUCUGCGGUGGGUACGGGCAGACUAGAGUGAUGUAGGGGAGACUGGAAUUCCUGGUGUAGCGGUGAAAUGCGCAGAUAUCAGGAGGAACACCGAUGGCGAAGGCAGGUCUCUGGGCAUUAACUGACGCUGAGGAGCGAAAGCAUGGGGAGCGAACAGGAUUAGAUACCCUGGUAGUCCAUGCCGUAAACGUUGGGCACUAGGUGUGGGGGACAUUCCACGUUUUCCGCGCCGUAGCUAACGCAUU